GAUGAACGCUGGCGGCGUGCCCAAUACAUGCAAGUCGAACGAGAUCUAACAGAGGAUUUAUCUGAUGUUAGUGAAAGUGGCGGACGGGUGAGUAACGCGUGAACAAUCCGCCUUGUACUGGGGGAUAGCCCCGAGAAAUUGGGAUUAAUACCGCAUAAGACCACAGCAUCGCAUGGUGCAGGGGUAAAAACUGAGGUGGUACAAGAAGAGUUCGCGUCUGAUUAGCUAGUUGGUGAGGUAGCGGCUCACCAAGGCCACGAUCAGUAGCCGGCCUGAGAGGGUGGACGGCCACAUUGGAACUGAGAUACGGUCCAAACUCCUACGGGAGGCAGCAGUAGGGAAUAUUGCACAAUGGGGGAAACCCUGAUGCAGCAAUGCCGCGUGAAGGAUGAAGGUUUUCGGAUUGUAAACUUCUAUCGAUGGGGAAGAAAAAAAUGACGGUACCCAAGUAAGAAGCCCCGGCUAACUAUGUGCCAGCCGCCGCCGUAAGAC
rnacentral:rRNA from 1 species